rnacentral:rRNA from 1 species
GAUGAACGCCGGCGGCAUGCCUAACACAUGCAAGUCGAUCGGUAAGGCUCUUCGGAGUACACGAGAGGCGGACGGCUGAGUAACGCGUAGGAACACACCCUGCAGUGAGGGAUAAGACACCGAAAGGUGUUCUAAUACCGCAUACGGUCUUCGGAUUAAAGCAUUUAUGCGCUGAAGGAGUGGCCUGCGUCAUAUUAGAUAGUUGGUGAGGUAAUGGCUCACCAAGUCGAUGAUGUGUAGCUGGUCUGAGAGGAUGAUCAGCCAGACUGGAACUGAGACACGGUCCAGACUCCUACGGGAGGCAGCAGUGAGGAAUAUUUCACAAUGAGCGAAAGCUUGAUGGAGCAAUGCCGCGUGCAGGAUGAAGGCCCUCGGGUUGUAAACUGCUUUUAUAAGAGAAGAUUAUGACGGUAACUUAUGAAUAAGGGACGGCUAACUACGUG